rnacentral:lncRNA from 1 species
AAAGCUCUGUUCAGAUACCUGACACCAGGUGUGACCCUUACUGUAGGCAAAGAACCUGAGCCCCAAGAAAGGGAGAGAUCAGGCCAGAAAAGAUACAAGCCUUUGGAUGUUCAAUCCCCUAGCUCCUCCAUCUCCUCACUGGAGGGUCUGGUCCUUCCUCAGGAUGGCUCUAACACUCAGGGCUGAGGAUGCUUCUGAGGCAUGGUCCUCUAGCUCUGACGGAAGGCUCAGGUUUUGUGAAAGCCCCAGCCUGGCCGGGGCACAGCAGGGCCAGCUGCCCCACGAGCUUGCCUGCUCACCUUGUUGCUCCAGAAGAGCAUUCUGCCGCUUGAGGUCAUCAAUGUCUUGCUGGUGCGUAUGGUUUUUCCUUCGCAUAUACUGGAUAUACUCUGUUGCUUUGUCUAGGAUUUGGGCCCGGGAUGCCUGUUGCAAUAUGAGAAAGAUUUUUAAAAAAAGAACAAAAUAAAGACUAAGUUUACAUAGCAAGAGAA